UUAAGCGACUAAGCGUACACGGUGGAUGCCCUGGCAGUCAGAGGCGAUGAAGGACGUGCUAAUCUGCGAUAAGCGUCGGUAAGGUGAUAUGAACCGUUAUAACCGGCGAUUUCCGAAUGGGGAAACCCAGUGUGAUUCGUCACACUAUCAUUAACUGAAUCCAUAGGUUAAUGAGGCGAACCGGGGGAACUGAAACAUCUAAGUACCCCGAGGAAAAGAAAUCAACCGAGAUUCCCCCAGUAGCGGCGAGCGAACGGGGAGCAGCCCAGAGCCUGAAUCAGUGUGUGUGUUAGUGGAAGCGUCUGGAAAGGCGCGCGAUACAGGGUGACAGCCCCGUACACAAAAAUGCACAUGCUGUGAGCUCGAUGAGUAGGGCGGGACACGUGGUAUCCUGUCUGAAUAUGGGGGGACCAUCCUCCAAGGCUAAAUACUCCUGACUGACCGAUAGUGAACCAGUACCGUGAGGGAAAGGCGAAAAGAACCCCGGCGAGGGGAGUGAAAAAGAACCUGAAACCGUGUACGUACAAGCAGUGGGAGCACGCUUAGGCGUGUGACUGCGUACCUUUUGUAUAAUGGGUCAGCGACUUAUAUUCUGUAGCAAGGUUAACCGAAUAGGGGAGCCGAAGGGAAACCGAGUCUUAACUGGGCGUUAAGUUGCAGGGUAUAGACCCGAAACCCGGUGAUCUAGCCAUGGGCAGGUUGAAGGUUGGGUAACACUAACUGGAGGACCGAACCGACUAAUGUUGAAAAAUUAGCGGAUGACUUGUGGCUGGGGGUGAAAGGCCAAUCAAACCGGGAGAUAGCUGGUUCUCCCCGAAAGCUAUUUAGGUAGCGCCUCGUGAAUUCAUCUCCGGGGGUAGAGCACUGUUUCGGCAAGGGGGUCAUCCCGACUUACCAACCCGAUGCAAACUGCGAAUACCGGAGAAUGUUAUCACGGGAGACACACGGCGGGUGCUAACGUCCGUCGUGAAGAGGGAAACAACCCAGACCGCCAGCUAAGGUCCCAAAGUCAUGGUUAAGUGGGAAACGAUGUGGGAAGGCCCAGACAGCCAGGAUGUUGGCUUAGAAGCAGCCAUCAUUUAAAGAAAGCGUAAUAGCUCACUGGUCGAGUCGGCCUGCGCGGAAGAUGUAACGGGGCUAAACCAUGCACCGAAGCUGCGGCAGCGACGCUGAUGCGUUGUUGGGUAGGGGAGCGUUCUGUAAGCCUGUGAAGGUGUGCUGUGAGGCAUGCUGGAGGUAUCAGAAGUGCGAAUGCUGACAUAAGUAACGAUAAAGCGGGUGAAAAGCCUGCUCGCCGGAAGACCAAGGGUUCCUGUCCAACGUUAAUCGGGGCAGGGUGAGUCGACCCCUAAGGCGAGGCCGAAAGGCGUAGUCGAUGGGAAACAGGUUAAUAUUCCUGUACUUGGUGUUACUGCGAAGGGGGGACGGAGAAGGCUAUGUUGGCCGGGCGACGGUUGUCCCGGUUUAAGCGUGUAGGCUGGUUUUCCAGGCAAAUCCGGAAAACUAAGGCUGAGGCGUGAUGACGAGGCACUACGGUGCUGAAGCAACAAAUGCCCUGCUUCCAGGAAAAGCCUCUAAGCAUCAGGUAACAUCAAAUCGUACCCCAAACCGACACAGGUGGUCAGGUAGAGAAUACCAAGGCGCUUGAGAGAACUCGGGUGAAGGAACUAGGCAAAAUGGUGCCGUAACUUCGGGAGAAGGCACGCUGAUAUGUAGGUGAAGUCCCUCGCGGAUGGAGCUGAAAUCAGUCGAAGAUACCAGCUGGCUGCAACUGUUUAUUAAAAACACAGCACUGUGCAAACACGAAAGUGGACGUAUACGGUGUGACGCCUGCCCGGUGCCGGAAGGUUAAUUGAUGGGGUUAGCGCAAGCGAAGCUCUUGAUCGAAGCCCCGGUAAACGGCGGCCGUAACUAUAACGGUCCUAAGGUAGCGAAAUUCCUUGUCGGGUAAGUUCCGACCUGCACGAAUGGCGUAAUGAUGGCCAGGCUGUCUCCACCCGAGACUCAGUGAAAUUGAACUCGCUGUGAAGAUGCAGUGUACCCGCGGCAAGACGGAAAGACCCCGUGAACCUUUACUAUAGCUUGACACUGAACAUUGAGCCUUGAUGUGUAGGAUAGGUGGGAGGCUUUGAAGUGUGGACGCCAGUCUGCAUGGAGCCGACCUUGAAAUACCACCCUUUAAUGUUUGAUGUUCUAACGUUGACCCGUAAUCCGGGUUGCGGACAGUGUCUGGUGGGUAGUUUGACUGGGGCGGUCUCCUCCUAAAGAGUAACGGAGGAGCACGAAGGUUGGCUAAUCCUGGUCGGACAUCAGGAGGUUAGUGCAAUGGCAUAAGCCAGCUUGACUGCGAGCGUGACGGCGCGAGCAGGUGCGAAAGCAGGUCAUAGUGAUCCGGUGGUUCUGAAUGGAAGGGCCAUCGCUCAACGGAUAAAAGGUACUCCGGGGAUAACAGGCUGAUACCGCCCAAGAGUUCAUAUCGACGGCGGUGUUUGGCACCUCGAUGUCGGCUCAUCACAUCCUGGGGCUGAAGUAGGUCCCAAGGGUAUGGCUGUUCGCCAUUUAAAGUGGUACGCGAGCUGGGUUUAGAACGUCGUGAGACAGUUCGGUCCCUAUCUGCCGUGGGCGCUGGAGAACUGAGGGGGGCUGCUCCUAGUACGAGAGGACCGGAGUGGACGCAUCACUGGUGUUCGGGUUGUCAUGCCAAUGGCACUGCCCGGUAGCUAAAUGCGGAAGAGAUAAGUGCUGAAAGCAUCUAAGCACGAAACUUGCCCCGAGAUGAGUUCUCCCUGACUCCUUGAGAGUCCUGAAGGAACGUUGAAGACGACGACGUUGAUAGGCCGGGUGUGUAAGCGCAGCGAUGCGUUGAGCUAACCGGUACUAAUGAACCGUGAGGCUUAACCUU
rnacentral:rRNA from 1 species